AACUCCGCGCAGUGUUACUUCCCUUGCAGUACAGUAAUCACUGCCUUCACAAAUAUCACGUGAUGAUAGAUAAAACGGCACGUGAUUGCAAUUUACAAAAUGGACGGAACACCUUUAAAAGAAAUUCCAGCAACAUGUUUCAUUUGUUUAGAAAAUAAACGAUUUUAUUCCAUAAAAGGAAAAAAUGCAACGGAAGACGAAAUCAUCCAAAAACUAAGUUCAAUAUCAGGAAGCAGACCCAGGAGGACAUGUCGAAGAACAAGCCAGACAGCCCCCCCCCCCCCAAGCUGCCCAUCAGGCUGAGCUGUACUUGGUGUUUGCCAACAUGCUGUAAUUUCUAGCCUGGUUGCUGUAGCCACAGAGGAAUUUUCAAGGACAAGAACCAGUGCUGGUAAAACUGUUCUCGUGUGGUUUUCCAUACUGGCUCUCGGCAGGGUUUUCCAGAAAGGAAUAUCAUCUCCAAAUCAUGAUGUGCCAAUAUGCUCCAGUUAGCUGUGGCCUUUUCCCCAGGCGGUAGUCCUGCAAUCUGAAUCCAGGAGAUGCAGCUCUGAAUCCAAUAUUGCAGAAGAAUGAAGAUGUUAGUCAACUCUGUAGUACUUGUUUGUGUGUAAAUGAUUCCAAUGAGUGAGAUUUAUAGCAAAUCAGGUGUAAAUAAGCAUCUUAUAGACUAUGGUGAAGUGCUGUACUCUGAAUUUAAUGCCAAAUCUAGCCUUCAAAACAUAUUCUUGAAGUAUUUUUUUUUAAAAAAUGGGCAUAAUAAUGUUAUCUCUGCAUUUUCUACAUCAUGUAGCCACCUCAUACAUGAAAACACUAGCAGUUGUCAUGAAUCUUUAAGUUUUGGUGUGUUUUUUGCCAUUUUCUUUGUUGCGCCAUUUGUCCUGGAAGCCAACAAUUUGGCAUAUAGUGUUGUUUAGACUGUCUAUUAACACAUGGUCACUAAAUUUCUUGUGUUAAACUGAACAGUUCUGUUACCUUUGUAUAUAACUGGACCAGAAAAGCAAAAUUUUGACAAGUUGAGGCUUUUCAGUUUGGCUCUUUGUCAUUUUUAGCUCGUCUGUUUUUCGAAGAAAAAAAGUCGAGUUAUUGUGAUAGCCUUGGCGUCGUCGGCGUCGUCUGCGUCUGCGUCUGCGUCUGCGUCGUCGUCGUCGUCCAAAAACUUUAACCUUACCUCAUAACUCAAAAACCGUUCAACAUUUUCACAUUAAACUUGCUACACGUGUUCCUAUUAACACUAUGCAUGUUUAUAGCAGGUCAUAUAAUUUUGCCUUUAAUUAAUAUUGAGUUAUCCCCCCUUUUCGACUUGGAAUUUCAUCAGACGAGCGUUGGCACCCACUCCGCGGUGCUCUUGUUUAUAUAAAACACUAAGCCGAUGAAGUGGAAAAACCUUAUUUUGCUUAGAAAAAAAUCUUUAAAGAGUAGGCAGGCCAUUUUUGUGGUGCUGUUCUAUAGACACCGUUGAACGCUACAACGAAAACUUUACUUGGUCAAAUUAUUCCAAUACAUAAGGAAAUAAUGGCUCUUCAAAGGUUUGCGGCUUAACAUUUGAGGGAAAUGGCUGUUUCUGCUUUUUAUGAAAAUACCACAGGUGCUAAUACUUGUCUGAUUCAUUGAGUGUUUGAUAUAUCAUUGCCAAACUUUCAGUAUGUGGUGCAUAUAGCCUGCAGCUGAACAUUAGGAGUUUUGCAGUCUGUUUCUGAAAAAAUGUUGCUUAAAUGAUAUAGAGGAAGCUUUUGGAGGGGUGGCCUAUUUUAAAUUGUUAUAAAUUCUUAAUUUAUACAGCUAUCUGGUUGAAAUAUGGCCAGUUGACAGUGCUUAGCCAUAGAAUAUUUGUGUUUGAGUAUGAAAUUUUAAAAUCUUAUAUUACAUAAUAUAAAUUAAUAAUAUAUAAUUCUCUUAUAUAUUUUGACAUUUAAAAAAAAACAACAAACUACUUUCACUUUCAAUUUAAUGUUUGAAAAUAGUUCCAAAUGAUGGUAACUAAUGAAUGAAAGCCUCACUUUCAAUUCUAAAGUAUAAUGGAGGGAUUUUUAAACAUAGGAAGUAGACCCAGGAGGAACUGUUGAAGAACA